UUUAAGUCUAUCUUUAGUCUAAUGUGCAUCACAAAGUAGGUAACAUUAAUUCUUCCUGCUCUGCAACAUAGAAGUUUGGUUGGUUAAAUAAAAUCCCAGCAUAUCGUUUGCUAUUUGUUUCUUUAGUAUGAACCACUCCUCUCUCUCUUACCAGUUUGUAGGAAGUUACUUGCAAUGAUUGUUUGGGUAUUGUGGAGUAAAUUUGCAUUGAUUAUUUUCUAGAUAUCUUGUAUCUG
rnacentral:misc_RNA from 1 species